UCCUGACUGACCGAUAGUGAACCAGUACCGUGAGGGAAAGGCGAAAAGAACCCCGGCGAGGGGAGUGAAAAAGAACCUGAAACCGUGUACGUACAAGCAGUGGGAGCACGCUUAGGCGUGUGACUGCGUACCUUUUGUAUAAUGGGUCAGCGACUUAUAUUCUGUAGCAAGGUUAACCGAAUAGGGGAGCCGAAGGGAAACCGAGUCUUAACUGGGCGUUAAGUUGCAGGGUAUAGACCCGAAACCCGGUGAUCUAGCCAUGGGCAGGUUGAAGGUUGGGUAACACUAACUGGAGGACCGAACCGACUAAUGUUGAAAAAUUAGCGGAUGACUUGUGGCUGGGGGUGAAAGGCCAAUCAAACCGGGAGAUAGCUGGUUCUCCCCGAAAGCUAUUUAGGUAGCGCCUCGUGAAUUCAUCUCCGGGGGUAGAGCACUGUUUCGGCAAGGGGGUCAUCCCGACUUACCAACCCGAUGCAAACUGCGAAUACCGGAGAAUGUUAUCACGGGAGACACACGGCGGGUGCUAACGUCCGUCGUGAAGAGGGAAACAACCCAGACCGCCAGCUAAGGUCCCAAAGUCAUGGUUAAGUGGGAAACGAUGUGGGAAGGCCCAGACAGCCAGGAUGUUGGCUUAGAAGCAGCCAUCAUUUAAAGAAAGCGUAAUAGCUCACUGGU
rnacentral:rRNA from 1 species